AGAAGCGAGCCUGCGAAGGCAAGCGGAUCUCUUAAAGCUGUUCUCAGUUCGGACUGCAGUCUGCAACUCGACUGCACGAAGCUGGAAUCGCUAGUAAUCGCGGAUCAGCACGCCGCGGUGAAUACGUUCCCGGGCCUUGUACACACCGCCCGUCAAGCCAUGGAAGCCGGGAGUGCCUGAAGUGCGUGACCGCAAGGAGCGUCCUAAGGCAAUACCGGUGACUGGGGCUAAGUCGUAACAAGGUAAC
rnacentral:rRNA from 1 species